rnacentral:rRNA from 1 species
CACGUAGGGUGCAAGCGUUGUCCGGAAUUAUUGGGCGUAAAGGGCUCGUAGGCGGUCCGUCACGUCGGGAGUGAAAACUCGGGGCUCAACCCCGAGCCUGCUUUCGAUACGGGCGGACUAGAGGUAGGUAGGGGAGAACGGAAUUCCUGGUGUAGCGGUGGAAUGCGCAGAUAUCAGGAGGAACACCGGUGGCGAAGGCGGGUCUCUGGGCCGAUAUCGACGCUGAGGAGCGAAAGCGUGGGGAGCGAACAGG